CCUACGGGCGGCAGCAGUGGGGAAUAUUGGACAAUGGGGGGAACCCUGAUCCAGCCAUGCCGCGUGUGUGAAGAAGGCCCUCGGGUUGUAAAGCACUUUCAGUGAGGAAGAACGCCUGGUGGUUAAUACCCAUCAGGAAAGACAUCACUCACAGAAGAAGCACCGGCUAACUCCGUGCCAGCAGCCGCGGUAAUACGGAGGGUGCGAGCGUUAAUCGGAAUUACUGGGCGUAAAGCGCGCGUAGGUGGCUUGAUAAGCCGGUUGUAAAAGCCCCGGGCUCAACCUGGGAACGGCAUCCGGAACUGUCAAGCUAGAGUGCAGGAGAGGAAGGUAGAAUUCCCGGUGUAGCGGUGAAAUGCGUAGAGAUCGGGAGGAAUACCAGUGGCGAAGGCGGCCUUCUGGACUGACACUGACACUGAGGUGCGAAAGCGUGGGUAGCAAACAGGAUUAGAUACCCUGGUAGUC
rnacentral:rRNA from 1 species